ACUACAAACCGUGCUAUCGUUUCGCUGACUUGUUCAGCGAAAAGGAAAGUCCGGACAGCACAGAGCAACGCACCACCUAACGGGUGGGGCCUCCAUCUUUGGUGGAGGUACAGCAAGUGCCACAGAAAAUAACCGCCUCUACCUGGUAGAGGUAAGGGUGAAAAGGUGGGGUAAGAGCCCACGGUGCAGGCAGGUAACUGUUUGUGCGGGUAAACCUUGCGUGCUGAAAUGCCAUGUAUACGGUCGCCUGAGGGCUGCUCGCCCGAUGACCGAGGGUAGGCAGAUACAGGCAACGUGCGAACGUUGCCGCAGAUAAAUGAUAGCAGCUCCCCGCGAAAGCGGGGAGAACAGAAUCCGGCUUACAGGUUUGUAGUUUUU
rnacentral:RNase_P_RNA from 2 species